CCUCGGGUGGCUGCAGUGGGGAAUAUUGCACAAUGGGCGCAAGCCUGAUGCAGCCAUGCCGCGUGUGUGAAGAAGGCCUUCGGGUUGUAGAGCACUUUCAGCGGGGAGGAAGGCGUUAAGGUUAAUAACCUUGGCGAUUGACGUUACCCGCAGAAGAAGCACCGGCUAACUCCGUGCCAGCAGCCGCGGUAAUACGGAGGGUGCAAGCGUUAAUCGGAAUUACUGGGCGUAAAGCGCACGCAGGCGGUCUGUCAAGUCGGAUGUGAAAUCCCCGGGCUCAACCUGGGAACUGCAUUCGAAACUGGCAGGCUAGAGUCUUGUAGAGGGGGGUAGAAUUCCAGGUGUAGCGGUGAAAUGCGUAGAGACCUGGAGGAAUACCGGUGGCGAAGGCGGCCCCCUGGACAAAGACUGGCGCUCAGGUGCGAAAGCGUGGGGAGCAAACAGGAUUAGAUACCCCAGUAGUC
rnacentral:rRNA from 1 species